rnacentral:rRNA from 1 species
UUGAUCAUGGCUCAGAUUGAACGCUGGCGGCAGGCUUAACACAUGCAAGUCGAGCGGAGAGAGGUAGCUUGCUACUGAUCUUAGCGGCGGACGGGUGAGUAAUACUUAGGAAUCUGGCUAUUAGUGGGGGACAACAUUUCGAAAGGGAUGCUAAUACCGCAUACGUCCUACGGGAGAAAGCAGGGGAUCUUCGGACCUUGCGCUAAUAGAUGAGCCUAAGUCGGAUUAGCUAGUUGGUGGGGUAAAGGCCUACCAAGGCGACGAUCUAUAGCGGGUCUGAGAGGAUGAUCCGCCACACUGGGACUGAGACACGGCCCAGACUCCUACGGGAGGCAGCAGUGGGGAAUAUCGGACAAUGGGGGGAACCCUGAUCCAGCCAUGCCGCGUGUGUGAAGAAGGCCUUAUGGAUGUAAAGCACUUUAAGCGAGGAGGAGGGUACUGGUAUUAAUACUACCAGGUACUGGACGUUACUCGCAGAAUAAGCACCGGCUAACUCUGUGCCAGCAGCCGCGGUAAUACAGAGGGUGCGAGCGUUAAUCGGAUUUACUGGGCGUAAAGCGUGCGUAGGCGGCUAAUUGAGUCGGAUGU